AACGCGGCUGUCCCAACUCGCUCCGGCCACCGCCCACUGCCGACACCUCCCUCAUUCUCUCAGGCGAUGCACACCGAUAAUAUCUGGGAGUGAAGGAAGUCAAGGAACCACGGAUUCUUAUUCUUGCAAUAUGGAGAGCUCUCAAUCCAAACGGUCUGCUUCUUUUUCUGAA